rnacentral:rRNA from 1 species
UGGGGAAUAUUGCACAAUGGGGGAAACCCUGAUGCAGCGACGCCGCGUGGAGGAAGAAGGUCUUCGGAUUGUAAACUCCUGUUGUUGGGGAAAAAGAGGAUGGUACCCAACAAGGAAGUGACGGCUAACUACGUGCCAGCAGCCGCGGUAAAACGUAGGUCACGAGCGUUGUCCGGAAUUACUGGGUGUAAAGGGAGCGCAGGCGGGUAUGCAAGUUGGGAGUGAAAUACAUGGGCUCAACCCAUGAACUGCUCUCAAAACUGUGUAUCUUGAGUAGUGCAGAGGUAGGCGGAAUUCCCGGUGUAGCGGUGGAAUGCGUAGAUAUCGGGAGGAACACCAGUGGCGAAGGCGGCCUACUGAGCACCAACUGACGCUGAGGCUCGAAAGUGUGGGUAGCAAACA